UUGGCCAUGAAUGUCCCCGCAAAUCUUGACGGGAGCUUCGAGCUCAAGCAAAUUAGGCUGUCGAAGAAAGAUAUCCCUAGAAGCUCGACACAGCUUUCUUAUCUGAGUCUCCGAGAGCUCCACCAGCUUGCCUGGCCUAGCUGAUCGGACCUCCUUUAGCCUGAUGAUUAUAUCAUCCAGUUCGGCAGGGUCCAAGCCCCCCUGCCUUUGUGUGGCCAUUGGAUUUCCAGGAGGCGGCGCGUGUAGCUGAUGAGACAAGGGGAAACAUGAAGACGGUUUGGGUCUAAUCUGAGGACUGAAAGAUGUCUUCUGCUCAUCAUCAUUAACAUCAAUUGAAAAAUCGUAGCAUGACGAAGAAACUUCUCUAGUGAUAGGUAUCGGCGACAUGGUAGCUUGCCGGAGUUGAUGAUUUGAUGAUUCAGUUAAGCAGUUUGACGAUUGUUAUAGAGUAACAAUUUUGACGGAGCCGUCUGAAAUUUGGAAUGAAAUUUCUG
rnacentral:misc_RNA from 1 species